GUGGCAUCAUCAAGAUUCACACA
rnacentral:miRNA from 1 species